AUUGCCCCAGUAACGGCGAGUGAAGCGGCAACAGCUCAAAUUUGAAAUCUGGCCCCUUGGGGCCCGAGUUGUAAUUUGCAGAGGAUGCUUUUGGCGAGGCGACUUCCGAGUUCCCUGGAAUGGGACGCCAUAGAGGGUGAGAGCCCCGUCUGGUUGUACGCUGAGCCUCUGUAAAGCUCCUUCGACGAGUCGAGUAGUUUGGGAAUGCUGCUCUAAAUGGGAGGUAUAUGUCUUCUAAAGCUAAAUAUUGGCCAGAGACCGAUAGCGCACAAGUAGAGUGAUCGAAAGAUGAAAAGCACUUUGAAAAGAGAGUUAAAAAGUACGUGAAAUUGUUGAAAGGGAAGCGCCUGUGACCAGACUUGGGCCCGGUGAAUCACCCAGCGUUCUUCGCUGGGGCACUUUGCCGGGCUCAGGCCAGCAUCAGUUUGCCCCGGGGGAUAAAGGCUUUGGGAAUGUGGCUCCUCCGGGAGUGUUAUAGCCCACUGCACAAUACCCUGGGGCGGACUGAGGUUCGCGCAUCUUGCAAGGAUGCUGGCAUAAUGGUCACCAGCGACCCGUCUUGAAACACGGACCAAGGAGUCGUCUUCGUAUGCGAGUGUUCGGGUGUUAAACCCCUACGCGGAAUGAAAGUGAACGCAGGUGAGAGCUUCGGCGCAUCAUCGACCGAUCCUGAUGUUCUCGGAUGGAUUUGAGUAAGAGCAUACGGGGCCGGACCCGAAAGAAGGUGAACUAUGCCUGUAUAGGGUGAAGCCAGAGGAAACUCUGGUGGAGGCUCGCAGCGGUUCUGACGUGCAAAUCGAUCGUCAAAUAUGGGCAUGGGGGCGAAAGACUAAUCGAACC
rnacentral:rRNA from 1 species